GUUCAGUGGAGGAGUAGACAUAAGAAGAAACAAAUAUGGCACAGUGACUUUACUCGCCUGCAGACUUCAAUGAAGUAUAAUGCUGCCACAGACUCCCUCUAAGCAAGCUGUCAUAAGGAGGGCCCGAAGUGGUUACUUCUGGAAGCUUCCAUCUAACCAACCUAUCUCACUUCCCAGGAUACUUGCAUGAUAAUCUCUGGGUCCAUCCAUGUAGCUGCAAAUGGCAUUAUUUCAUUUUUAUGGGUGAGUAACAUUCCAUUU